rnacentral:tRNA from 1 species
GGUGGCUCAGUGGUAAGAGUGCUUGCCUAGCAUGCAUGAGACCCUGGGUUCCAUUCCUCAGCACCA